GAAAAACGUUUGGCCUCAUAGGGCCUUGCCAAGGCUAGUGACUGUGCCAAGGAGCAGAGUUGGUACUGCCCGUGCUAUCCUAAGUGCAAGGCCAGUGGUACCCUUACUUUGAGCUUGGGCAUUUCUCUGUGGAGAGGCUUUUUAUGCUGCAUGAGCCUCCUCCUCGCUCUUUGCUCUGUGCCCUUUGCGCUUUUCUGAGAAUCCUUCUCCUCUGGGUAGGGCUGCUGAAGCAUUCCUGAAUUCCCUGAGGGUAGCUCAGGCAAACUAUACUCUUCUGGAGAAGACCAGGGCCCCUUAAGACACCUUGUUAGAGUAUCUUCCCUUUCCCAGGUCUCAAACUAAUUCUCUAUGGCUCUGGAUGGCAGCAGCUUCACAGCUAAGUGCCGAUCCCACAGUGAAGGACGUUCGGUUUAAUUCUGUGUAGAAAUAAGUUGGGCUAAAUCACAGAAAUGUGCGUUUCCAGUGAUAUGAAAAUAAUGGUGGCUUAAAGUCAUUUGGAUCAAGGAUGGAAACGAUAAUAUAUUUAAAUCAAGAGAAGAGUGUCCAGCUGCUUUUAACUUUCCUCACUUGCCUGAAGCUGGUGUGACUUGUCUUCCCAAUGGUCUCCAAGAGACUAAGGACUACCCCCAUUAUUUAUCUUUCCAUCAUAACUCCAGAAGUGGACACAGAUCCCCAUCCUACAGGAGGACAGAUGUCCCAACAGAGUAGGGAAAAUGCUGGCAUAGCAGUGACUCAUAGUGUGACCAUGGAAAAUUCCAGUUAUAAAGCAUGAAAAAGUUAGAUUUUCCCUGAAGAAGCGUCUCCCAAUCGUUCCUCCCACUCAUCUGCUCUCCCUAUAUGUCCAGAACUGGCUCUGCAGGAAGGAAGGGAAGCGGGGACCCCCAUGACUGUGGUGGGGAGAGGCUAGCUACAAACAGCUGGGUUAAUCCACUUGGGCAUUGCCAGUAUUGCGUUUGUCAUGGGUGACUGUUCAAUAAUGUAAGGCCAGCUGCUGUAACAGAAAAUCCCUGCAAUUUUUGUAGAACAGCUCAGUGGAAAUUUUUACUCAUACAGGAGGCAUUCUUGCUGGGCGGAGACAGAUGAUCAUGGCACAGGCCACUACAGUCUUUUGAGGGCCUGCACUAAGAUAGUCAUUGCUAUUUCAUCACUGAAGUUACACAGAUUAUCUUGAUUUCUAGCUCCAGCCAAUAGGCAGAGGACGAGUCAUAGAUGAGGUGCUAUGGUUCAAAUCUAGAAAGAGAAUGCGUGGUUUCUCCUUAAGUACUAGUACCAGGUCUGAGGGACAUGGCCAAUAGGAGAAAUGCUAGCAUAGGUAGAACUAGUAUGUGCCCAUAAGGAAAAGCAGAAUAUCAUACAGAAACUAGUUCGCCAGUUUCUGGCAUAGUAGCCAAAGUCCAUUUCCCAGACCGACAGGUAUUAAUAGUAGGCCAAUCAUAGGUGCUGGUUGAUGGGCAGUGGAUAGUCCUGAAGUCUGGAAUUAACUCGGGAGAACCAGGCAGUGAUGCGAAGUAGGAGGGCCAGAGCCAAAAUACUGAAUGGGUCUAAACAGGAAAAGCCAGUAUGGUUUCAGGAACGGUGUGGAAGCUCAGAUAAGCUUUUGAUUCUUUGGCCAAUCCAACCAAUCUGGGAAUGAUGUUCUGGACAUGAUGUGUAAAGUACAAUUCUAGACCAUAUCACGUGAGGGCAAAGGAUUGCUAAUCUGGGAGCUGAGUUAACUAGGAGUCUCUAGCUGGUUCAGGUGACCGAGACUGAGAAGUAAAGCAUUACAUACAGCACUUCCCUUAUUCAUGAAUCCAGGAAGCACAGAGCCAUCUCACUUUAUUUUUCACUGGGAAACCUGGCAACCUGUGAACCACGAGGCCAUGUGAACUGGCUAUUGUGUGGAUGAUAAACUAGUGUAUAUAAAGCCAGCAGUACCUCUCGGCAGCCCUCUGGAAUCAUCUAGCUCUUCUAAUAUCUCCCAGUAGUGGGACACCUUCUAGCUGAGAAUGUAGAAGUACUUAGGUUUGGCUAUGUCAGUUCAGAGAAUGGAAAUGGUCGUGAGUCUUAGCAAGACCUUCUCCUUCUAUGAUAGAUCAAACUGCGUGUGUGUUGCCCUGGGUUUUUGCAUGCACAAAGCUAACUGUGGCAGCUAUGUAAUAGCUACCCAAUAGCUGCCUCCCUUCUUUCAUUACUUCUGUACUUCCCAGUUGAGCUUUCCUUCUCUUCUCAGUAGAUCUAUUUGACUAUGAAGUUUUAUCCCAGACUAGUCCUCAUGGAGCAUGAAACAAGAGCUCCAUUUAUCCAGAAUAUGGACCAGAAUGGGGACUAGACUGUGUGGGGAGGUCAUUUAUCCAGAAUGUGGACUAGACUGUGUGGGGAGGUCAUUCUGAUACAAAAAUAUAUUUCUUUAGGUAGUCAUUAUGGGAUAAUGAUAAAAGUAUACCUUGGGAACUUAUACAGGUUACCAGGUUUCCUAACCUUUCUCUCUUAAUUCUCAAUCUUGACACAUGCUGGUUUGCAUGGUAAUUCUCCCUUGCUUUGGACCCAACAAAAAACUUAUUCCAAAUCAAUUAUGGUGAUAGUCUAGGGAUUUUUAUAUGCCUUAUUUUUAGUACAAAAUCUUUUUAUUGCAAUUUCUUAUACACUUAUAAAAGUGAAAGUGUCUUACUGAGUUCAUCAUAUUACUCUUGUUAUUCAUGGGUGACCUAGGUCUCCUUUCUUCUUCCUUCUCCUUCCCUUGCCUCUUUUCACCAUUCUUCUGUACCUUCUCCUAACCUUGUCACUUAGCCUUUUUCCCUCAUCUUUUCCACUUCCCUUUUCUUAGUUAAUAAAUGAAACUAAUCACCCAAUGAACUAACUCUACAGUUUUAUAAUGAGUGCUUUGGUGUAAGUGUGCUGUCCGUUCCAAACUUGUAUGUUGAAAUUUUGACCCUCAAGGUAUUAGGAGAUGAGGGACUUUGGGGUUAACCCUCGUGAAUGCUGCAUUAGAAUUCACUUUUCUGUCAAUGUAAUAAAAUUCUGUGAUCAAAAACAA